GAUGAAGAACGUAGUGAAAUGCGAUAAGUAAUGUGAAUUGCAGAAUUCAGUGAAUCAUCGAAUCUUUGAACGCACCUUGCGCUGCUUGGUAGUCCAAGGAGCAUGCCUGUUUGAGUAUCAUUAAAUUAUCAACUGUGCCAAUUUGGUUACAGAUUGGAUGUGGGAGAUUCUUUUUGCAGGCCUUUGACUUCUCUUUGAGAAAAAAAUAAAAGGUCGGCUCUCCUGAAAUGUAUUAGCAGUGCCUUUGUUGGUUCAUUAGGUGUGAUAAAUUGUCUACAUCUUCACAUGAUACCUUCAUUUGUAAAGGUUAUAUUGCUGCUAAAUUGUCUUUGAUUGGACGCAAAACAUAUAUAAUGUUUGACAAACUUGAUCUCAAAUCAGGCAGGACUACCCGCUGAACUUAAGCAUAUCAAAAGCGGAGGA
rnacentral:misc_RNA from 1 species